rnacentral:rRNA from 1 species
GGAUGCGAUCAUACCAGCACUAAAGCACCGGAUCCCAUCAGAACUCCGAAGUUAAGCGUGCUUGGGCGAUAGUAGUACUAGGAUGGGUGACCUCCUGGGAAGUCCUCGUGUUGCAUUCC